UUGCUUCAGCAACACAUACAUGAAAACUGGAAUACAGAGACAAUUAGCAUGGCCCCUGCACAAGGAUCACAAGCAAAUUCAUGAAAAAAGGCUCAAUAAC
ensembl:snRNA U6 U6 spliceosomal RNA